rnacentral:rRNA from 1 species
UACGUAGGGUGCAAGCGUUGUCCGGAAUUAUUGGGCGUAAAGAGCUUGUAGGCGGUUUGUCGCGUCUGCUGUGAAAUUUCGGGGCUCAACCCCGAACUUGCAGUGGAUACUGUCGGGCUAGAGUGCGGAAGAGGCGAGUGGAAUUCCUGGUGUAGCGGUGAAAUGCGCAGAUAUCAGGAGGAACACCUAUUGCGAAGGCAGCUCGCUGGGACGUAACUGACGCUGAGACGCGAAAGCGUGGGGAGCAAACAGG